GAUGAACGCUGGCGGCGUGCCUAAUACAUGCAAGUCGAGCGAACAGAUGAGGAGCUUGCUCCUCUGACGUUAGCGGCGGACGGGUGAGUAACACGUGGAUAACCUACCUAUAAGACUGGGAUAACUUCGGGAAACCGGAGCUAAUACCGGAUAAUAUAUUGAACCGCAUGGUUCAAUAGUGAAAGACGGUUUUGCUGUCACUUAUAGAUGGAUCCGCGCCGCAUUAGCUAGUUGGUAAGGUAACGGCUUACCAAGGCAACGAUGCGUAGCCGACCUGAGAGGGUGAUCGGCCACACUGGAACUGAGACACGGUCCAGACUCCUACGGGAGGCAGCAGUAGGGAAUCUUCCGCAAUGGGCGAACGCCUGACGGAGCAACGCCGCGUGAGUGAUGAAGGUCUUCGGAUCGUAAAACUCUGUUAUUGGGGAAGAACAAAUGUGUAAGUAACUAUGCACGUCUUGACGGUACCUAAUCAGAAAGCCACGGCUAACUACGUG
rnacentral:rRNA from 1 species